CCUACGGGUGGCAGCAGUAGGGAAUAUUGCUCAAUGGGGGAAACUCUGAAGCAGCAACGCCGCGUGGAGGAUGAAGGUUUUCGGAUUGUAAACUCCUUUUGUUAGAGAAGAUAAUGACGGUAUCUAACGAAUAAGCACCGGCUAACUCCGUGCCAGCAGCCGCGGGAAUACGGAGGGUGCAAGCGUUACUCGGAAUCACUGGGCGGAAAGAGCGCGUAGGCGGGUUAGCAAGUCAGGUGUGAAAUCCUAUGGCUUAACCAUAGAACUGCAUUGGAAACUGUUAUUCUAGAGUAUGGGAGAGGUAGGUGGAAUUCUUGGUGUAGGGGUAAAAUCCGUAGAGAUAAAGAGGAAUACUCAUUGCGAAGGCGACCUGCUAGAACAUAACUGACGCUGAUGCGCGAAAGCGUGGGGAGCAAACAGGAUUAGAUACCCGAGUAGUC
rnacentral:rRNA from 1 species